CCCUUAGAUGUUCUGGGCCGCACGCGCGCUACACUGAUGCAUUCAACGAGUUUCAUCCUGGUCCGAGAGGAAUGGGUAACCUUUUGAAAGUGCAUCGUGAUAGGGAUAGACUAUUGCAAUUAUUGGUCUUCAACGAGGAAUUCCUAGUAGACGUAGUUCAUCAGACUGCAUCGAUUACGUCCCUGCCCUUUGUACACACCGCCCGUCGCUCCUACCGAUUGAAUGCUCAGGUGAGCCAUUCGGACUUUCAUCAUGCUGGUUUCCAGUUUUGAUGAAGGAAAGUCUUGCGAACCUUAUCAUUUAGAGGAAGGAGAAGUCGUAACA
rnacentral:rRNA from 1 species